GCGGCGAAGCUGUGAGGGGGCUGUGGUGGCAGCUGCCCCUGCGCGGAGGCGACGCUUGCGAUCGAUCGUGCUGGAGCCCGAGACUGUUGGGUUGUGUGUGCGGGUGGAGAGGACUCGGUGGCUGUGGGCGGUUGAGGGGCGGGUCGUGGCGCAGCUGGCCCCCUUGGAGACCCCUCGGAUCACGGGAUGGAGGCUCCCGGCAGAAGGGAAUCUCGCCUUUGCGGGAAUGAAUGAAGAGCUGUGGAAGCGCCUUCCGACUCCUCCGGGCGAACGGAUUGGCCGGCGUGCGCGCGUGUGUAUGCGUGAGUGUUUAGGAUUCGGAGCCUCCAGGGUCCUGGGCGCGGCUGCUGGACCGCCCAGCCGCGGUCCUGGUACCCACGUUGCCCGCCCGCCCUGCGUCCGGGGUCGGCCUGCGCGGCUGGAGCAGCGGGUGUAGACUGAAGUCUGGGGCUCGGAUGCCGGCUGUUGGCGUCUGGACGUCCACGCUUCGAGUAGGAAGGUUCGACAAGGAGGCGGCACAGGCUGGGGCUGGGACUUGGUCCUCGUGCCCCCAUUUUCCCGUUCCCCGAGGCCCUUCGCUGUGUUCACGCUGGGUAAUCUGAUGUCUAAAAGAUUUUGUUCCCCACGAAGAGGAAACAUUUCAAAGGAACACAGGGUGUAAGAGAAGAAAUCUUCAGGGACUCUGCAUGGAUGGCACGCCAAUCCAUCUCUCAUUGCGUCGGCCAUGAACUCUUCUAAUCCUGUGGGUGUUUCUAUGUUUUCCAGUGAGAAUUCUUCCACUUCAUUUUGUGCCAUGGGAAAAACCUGAAGGACAGGAAGAAUUGCUCCCGACCUUGUGGCUUUUUUCAGGAUUGCGGUAGCUCUUACAGAACAUGACAACUGGAGAUCAUUCGUGUUGUCUUUUGGAAUUGAGCCAAAGAACGUGCUUCCUCAGUCACUGGUGUUUGGGCGCUUGCUCCAUUUUAUGUCUGUUUCUGUUGCUUGGGCCUUUCGAUCAUCUUAUGUGAUCACGAGACGCCCUUGAAGUUUUCCAGUACGACUUGCACGCGUCUGGAUUCCUCAGGGGCUCGCCCAUGGCUCGGUGGGCCAGCGGUCCAAGGACAUUACCAUGAGGCACUGCAUUAACUGCUGCAUACAGCUGUCGCCCGACGACACACACCCACAGCAGGCUGGCUGUCGAGGAGGCCCCCAUCACGGUCACCAGGAGUGCCCUGCAUGCAAAGGAGAAAACAGAAUUGUGUUUCGAGUGGACGGUAAGCAGAUGAACUUGCUUGCUGUUCUCGAAGUGAGGGCUGAAGGGAAUGAGAGCUGGGGUGGGUUUUUGCGCUUCAAGAAGGGAAAGCGAUGCAGCCUUGUUUUUGGAUUGAUAAUAAUGACGUUGGUGAUGGCUUCGUACAUCCUUUCUGGGGUCCACCAAGAGCUUCUGCUCUCAUCGCCUUUCCAUUACGGAGCCUUCCCCAGCAAUCCCAGCUUGAUGGAUGGCGGAAAUCCGAGUGACGUGAAAGAGCAUCAUCACCAACCCUCUAUAAAUAAUAUUUCACUCGUGAAAGACUAUCCAAGCAUUAAAUUAAUUAUCAACAGCAUCACAGCCAGGAUUGAGUUCACUACCAGACAGCUCCCAGAUGUAGAAGAUCUCAAGAAGCAGGAAUUGCAUAUGUUUUCAGUGAUCCCCAGUAAAUUUCUCCCCAACAGUAAGAGCCCCUGUUGGUACGAGGAGUUCACGGGGAGGAACACCACCGACCCCUACCUGACCAACUCGUACGUGCUCUACUCCAAGCGCUUCCGCUCCACCUUCGACGCCCUGCGCAAGGCCUUCUGGGGCCACCUGUCCCACGCCAACGGCAAGCACUUCCGCCUCCGCUGCCUGCCGCACUUCUACAUCAUCGGGCAGCCCAAGUGCGGCACCACCGACCUCUACGACCGCCUGCGGCUGCACCCGGAAGUGAAGUUCUCCGCCAUCAAGGAGCCGCACUGGUGGACCCGGAAGCGGUUCGGGAUCGUCCGCCUAAGAGAUGGGCUGCGGGACCGCUAUCCUGUGGAAGAUUAUCUGGACCUCUUUGAUCUGGCCGCACACCAGAUUCAUCAAGGACUGCAGGCCAGCUCCACAAAGGAGCAGAGCAAGAUAAAUAGAAUCAUUAUCGGGGAGGCCAGCGCCUCCACCAUGUGGGAUAACAACGCCUGGAUGUUCUUCUAUGACAACAGCACGGAUGGCGAGCCCCCCUUUCUGACCCAGGACUUCAUCCACGCCUUUCAGCCAGAUGCGAAACUGAUCGUCAUGCUCAGGGACCCCGUGGAGAGGUUGUACUCAGACUAUCUCUACUUUGCAAGUUCGAAUAAAUCUGCAGAUGACUUCCAUGAAAAAGUGACAGAAGCUCUGCAGCUGUUUGAAAAUUGCAUGCUGGAUUAUUCACUGCGCGCCUGCGUCUACAACAACACCCUCAACAACGCCAUGCCGGUGAGGCUCCAGGUUGGGCUGUAUGCUGUGUAUCUCCUGGACUGGCUCACUGUUUUUAAUAAAGAACAGUUCCUCAUUCUUCGCCUGGAAGACCACGCCUCCAACGUCAAGUACACCAUGCACAGAGUCUUCCAGUUUCUCAACCUCGGGCCCUUAAGUGAGAAGCAAGAGGCCUUGAUGACCAAGAGCCCCGCGUCCAACGCGCGGCGUCCGGAGGACCGGAACCUGGGGCCCAUGUGGCCGGUCACACAGAGGAUCCUGCAGGACUUCUACGGGCCCUUCAACACACAGCUGGCGCGGGUUCUCGCCGACGAGGCGUUCUUGUGGAAGAAGACGUGAGGGCCGAGGGCCCGCUGCCGGCUCAGGCCGGGUUUCCGUUAUUUCCAUGAUUUGAAAUCUCUCUUGGUGGGGAUCCUUUUUGCUUAGAGCUUGGAGAAAUCCCCUCCCCAGGCACCUGUGUAUGGAAACCGUUUCAAAAUCUCGUUUGUGAUGUUAAACAGCCCAGCAAUGGUCCCUUCACCGAGUCUCAGAUGGAGACUGUUGGAGAUUCCACUCAGGAAAGGGUCCCCUUCUGCUCCAAGAGAGACUGAGCUCUGGGAUGAGGCCGGCAGGCACUGGGCUCGGUGCCGAGAGGGAAGCACCGAGUCUGGGAUCCACUGGAGGCCCCACCCUGGGGCUGGCCGGGAUGAACUUUUCACACUGAGUUUUGAAACCCUCUGUUCAGAUCACUAACCUCAUUUGGGCAGAGAAUGGAAGCUCUUUUAUUUUUUUUCCCUUUUACCCCAAAGUCAGCUCUUCCAUCUCUUCAAAUAUAAACCCUGUUAAUGUCACUCUUUAACCAGGGAGAAAGACCCAAGUCAGAUUUUGGCGGCACGUUUGUGUCUUGGUUGGACCUCCUCCCCGUCUGUCCUUGUGGACUUGACUUACGUUUAACAGAAGACGAGCGUGUUUGAAACAGACCACUUUCUGUGUUUCUCUAGCUAGAGCUCUCUUUUCUGCCCCUUUAGGUGUUUUCUCAAAAGUUGUUUCAGUUUAUAAUUGGAAUAUAAAUUCAGUUUAAAAUUGGAAGGGAAAUCUUUGCUGUUAAUGCCAGACUGAGCAACUUGAAGGAGUUGAUGGGAAAUCUAGGCACCAUCCAGGCGCCACGCACCUGAGGCCCUCAGACACUGAGGGCUUCGGAAGUUUUAGCUGUGGGUGCAGCAGGCUGUUUGCUCUGCCUUCUUCCCAAACGAGCUUAUUACCCACAUUCUCCACCACGUGUGGCCAGAGGUCAUUCCUCACUCGAUGAACUACAAGAUUCUGGUUUCCUGAUUCAGAAACACAUAAGCUAUGUAUGCUUGGGUGUGCUGGGAUUCGGAAGGAGAAUGCCAGGAGCUGUGUUCUUGACAGAACUUUCUGGGCCACUUGGCUGCUUGGUUUACUGACGAACAGGCCAAAGGCCUUGCCAUUUCCUGGAGACGGUGGGAAAGCGUGAACACAUUCCUCACACAGAGGCCCUGGCGGGACCCCCACCAAGCUUCGCGUGCAAGCGUUGUCAAGGGAAGCUUCCUGCCGAUCAGAGCGCUCAAGUGGAGAUCCUGGCGGUGCACCAGUCAGACAGUGCCAAUGCCUACAUGCCCAGCCGCCGCCGCUCAUGGGCGUGAGGGUUUGCUCAGCUGUCCGGCCCUGGCGCCGUGGUCUUUCCCCUGUCAGAGGUGCGGUGCUCGGCCUAUUCAACAGCGAGCGGAGGGCUCUCCCUGGCACGGCCAGGCUGUUUCUGCUUCUGAUGGAGCCGUGGUCCUGAACACCUGCUUUCAGGGACAGUCCGCCUUCCCUCCCGCUGUGGCACUCGGAGCAGCAGCCAGCAGGGAACCCUGGCCUGAGCACAGGGUGCUGGGGGGAGGCAUCGCUUGCGCGUGCGUAUUUAUUUGCAGGGCAGGUGCGUGUGCCGGCGCGAGGGAGCGAUUCCGAGCGGGCCCCUUCGGUUCUGUUGCUGACGGCCUCCCCUGCUCGGGACACAGCCCCUUCCUGGAUUUACUUCUCUGCCAAGUAGCUUGUCACUUGCAGCCCGUGUUUGCUCCUCCGCCCCGACCGUAACCACAACCGGGGCUCUUCCCGCGCACUCCUAGGCAUGUGAACAACAUGCGGCGUCAUUCUGCUUCUUACAGAAGUGAUACUGGAAGUCGUAUUUCCAAUAUUAUUUGGUUUAUUAUACAAAUCUUUUUAUAGACGCAGGCCCAUCCCUUGGUGCCAGUCAGUGCCAUGCAGACCCGGUUUCUCCGGGGGCCUUUCUCCAAAGGGCUGUCUGUCUGUCUGUGUGUCGCCUUUGCGUUCCUCCGCUCUCCCAUUUGAGGCCCCACUCCCAGUGACGGCGCAGCUGCCGUUUCCAGCAGGCGACCUCCAGCCUGUCGUCCCAAACCAAAGCAAAACGAAGCAUUUCUCACAACCUGGUACUGAAGUUCCUUUGUGUCCCCAAAGCUGUGUAUCAGAUUGUAUUAAAUUGUACUCCCUUAGUUGUGUAAGUUAUGUUAAGUGAACCACAGUUACGCUGUACUUUUAUUAAUAUUUAACAUAAUUAAAUGUGGACCCCUGUGACCGGGACCCCAGAGUGCGCGCUCUUCCUCAUAAGUCGCCGUGGCUCCCGUGGAAGGCUCUCCCUCGGGUCCCCUGCACUCGAAUGAACCACAGUAGUUCCGUGUCUCACCUGCCAGCAUUGCACUCUACCAGGGGGCCUGCCAUUACCAGAGACGCCCUCCUGGGGCUGCUGGGAUGUGAGGGCAGCGAGGUCCCUGCCCACAGACGGACCGAACGUUGUCUUCAGACAUUUAGAUUUGAAGGUCGGGUGAUGCAGUCCUGCUGCUCCCGAUAGGCUGCUGUCACGUAACUGCUUCCCUUGUUUACACGGCUGCCUGGCCCCUGGGGGCUGGGCGUGUGAGAGCCCGGGUGUCACUGGGUGCAUGUCAUCAUCACUGGACACUCAGGACCCCUGGAUGCAGCUAGACCAAGCCCGGGGGAGAUGUGCGUCUCAGGCUAGGGGUUCUGGCAGCCUCAGUCAUCCCGGGCACAGUGUGGAGCCUGAGUUGGUCCCACAAUUCUGGAAAGACCCACCCUGGGUGAGCCUCUCCCCAGCACUACCCUUCACAGUGGUGUUGGGGGAAGAGGGGCUGGCGAGUCCAGACCUGGAAAUGACGAGGACCCCUUCUUGAUGGCAAAGCCGGGGACAGCUCCGCUUAGCAGAGAAAACGCUGUGCCUGUGAGGAGGUGGGGGGGCAGCACAGACAGGCAAACCUGGAGAGCGGAUCACACAGCUCCUUCCCCUGGGGGUCUCUCCAAACCCCUCUCUGCCCUGCGGCCACCCCUCACCCACACAGGCACCAGCUCUCGGGGAACAUUCUAAUGAGGAUCAGGUAUGUUAGAAGCCUCCCCUUGGAUUGACUCUAUUUGGCAACUGAAGCAAAGGCCGGGCUUCUAGCAGAGGAAUUUCAGGCCUCAUCCAGCAGGGAGAGAGGUAUCAUGUGUGGGCGGGUGUUUUUCUGUUGCUCCAGAAUCCUCAUCCUGUGGGCAGAUCCUGUUGUGACUCGUAGGACGACAUCACUCCCCCAGAGCGUCACCCGGCAGGCCUCCCUGCAGAGCCGCCCAGAGAGAACGGGUCCCGCGGGGAGGUGGCUGCAGCAGCAGUGGGGGCAGCCGGCCACAGGCCCCAGGGGGCUGCAUUCACGUCCCACGGCCACUGUAGCAAGCUACCCAAACUGAGCGGCUGAAGCCAACUCCGGUGCAUCACGUCGCAGUCUGCAGGUCAGAAAUCCAAACUCAGUCUCCCUGGGAGAAACAGGAUGUGGGCGGGCCUGGUCCUCUCUGGAGGCUCUUGGGGAGAAUCUGUCUCCUUGCCUUCCCCAGCUGCUGGAGGCUGCCACACUCUUGGCUUGUGGUCCUUUCCUCCAUCUUCAGACUCUCUGACCUGCUUCCCUCUGACCCUCCCACUCUGGCCUCUUGUAAGGACCCUCAUGAUCACUCCGGGCCCCCAGGAUGCUCCUACAGGAUCACCUCCCCAUCGCAAGGUCACAGCUGCAAAAGCCCCUCUGCCGUGUAUUGUAACGUAUUUAUAGGUUCCAGGAAUUAGGAUGCAGACAUCAUGGGGGGCUGUUAUUCAGCCGGCAAUAGACGGGUGGGUCCAGUGAGCUGGAUGGGCAGUCAAAGGAUAGAGAGGGGGCCCACUGGCCUGUCCCUUUCGGCUGUGCCCUGAGAGGCCCAAGCAGGUCUGAGUGCUUACUGAGGGCCAGGCUCCCCCACAUGUCCUUUCUGAGGUGCUGAGACUUUCUGUCCAGGCAGGACCCUGAGGCUGGAGUCAGUGGGACAGAGUGGAUGACCAGCCACUCUUUCGUACACAUGUCCCAGGUGAGCCAAGAGGUACCCCAGCCCCAGAUAGGAUUCUUUCAACAGCUUUGGGUAGAAGUGAUUUUUGAGUGCUUACAAAAAAAAAAUUUUUUUUUUUAAGUUACUUUCUCAGUUCCCCCAGGAGACCCAUACGAGCCACAUGGGCGGUUUUGAGUUUCUGAAGUUCAGCUGUUUUCGAGUUAGUCAUGCUUCAAAAGGAGCAGCUUGUGAAAAUGACAAAAAUGGUUAGAAUGUUUUCUGGUCCCUGAGAGAGCCUUGGGGGCCAGUGGCCCCGGCCUCAUGCUCUGGGACUGGCUCUGGAAGGCAGCCUCCAAACUCACAUUUAGUGCUCGGGCCUGACGGCACCCAGCUGGCCUCGGCUCCUGAAGCCCGGCCCCGUCAGCCUCUGUCCCCAGCCCUCUCGCUCCUCCCCCUGUCCGUUUUCCAUCCUUUGCAAACCUGCUUCUGCUCAGGUCUCCGGUGGCAGGGCAGAGACUGGGUGUCCCUGGGUCCCUUAGGCCUGUGGGUUGCUGUCCCUGAGAGCCCGCAGGCCACGAGGACACCGCAGAGGUGGAAAUGGUAGCGUCUCAGUGACUGCAGCAGGCCCACCUGGGAGUGGCUGUGUCCUCCUGCCAGGCGACCCCGGGACUCGCCUCAGGUCUGCGCGUACUCAUCCUCCGCGCACUUGGGGCAAAGCAAGGAGUAAGAUUAGUGCAUUCCGUGUGACUGCGCUGCCCUGCCCUGCCCUGCCCUGUGGGCGCCCAGCUCGGAGUCUGGAGCACAGAGCAGAGCACGGGCCCUCCUCUCCCAUAGUUGGAGGACCCCUUGCUUGGGGCAGCAGCAUGGGGAGCACAGAGGCCCCGGGGGCUCCUGGGGCUUUUGGGUGCACCCCCCAGCUCUGCAUGCUCUGAGCUGCCCCCUUAAGAUCAGUCUCUGGUCAGAUCUAGAAGCGGUGGGUCUGAAGCCUGGGCCUCUCUGAGUCCUGUGGCUUUCCCAAGGUGACACAGGGAGGAGGCAGCGGGGACCCAGCGCUCCACCUCCCUGAGGAGUUUCCUUCCUCUCCCAGAGCAGAGAAAGGCUGGGUCCAGGGACUCAUGGGGGAAAAGCUUCCAGUAUCUUCUGGAGUUGACUCAUCCUUCUUCCCCUUUCUUCCUCUGAAAGGGAUAGUCUGACUCGCACCCCACCAAACUCGGACCCCCAAGAGGUCAGUGUGGGGAGGGGAGGGGUGAGCCCUGGGCCUGGGGCCAGAUGAGCUGGGUUCAAGGCCUGGGUCCUGCCCACCCCCUGACCUUGGGGACAGCCAGGCCCUUCCCGCAUCUGCAGGUCUGUGGGCCUCGUGUGUGGGUGUUGCAGUUAAUGAGGAAAUAGCACAUGAAAGCACAAACAGGGUCAGAGAGACUGCACACCUGCCUGAGGUCACACAGCUCUGGUCUCCGGGAAGAGCAAGGUGUCAACUCAGAUUUUCUACUUUUUAACUUCAAAGUCAAUGUUUUCAUUCAUGGUGCCACAGUGUACAUCCCCGACCCCUCCACAGGCUCCCUGUCCCCCACAGCCUGUCUGCAUUUCCUGUGUCAGCCCCCCAUCAAUGUCAGUGAGGCAGCAGACUCUGGGUCUUCUGGGCUGAGGCAUCUGCAGACCUGCCCAUCUAGGGGUCUAGGUGGUGACUGGGGCUUCUAGGGGGAAACAAAGGGAACUAAACAUGAUUCUGUUCUGCCAAAAGGGUCUCACAGCUGACUCCUGCUGGCAGAGGGGGCCUCCCCGCCCUGGGAGGGGAGGCUAAACCUCCCACUCGCAGGAUCAGGCCGACUCCAGGGGGCUGGCAUGUGGAGUCACAUCAGAAGUGGAUGCCUGCCCCUGGGCUCAGCCCCACCUGAUGGCCUCAAAGGCACCGAGGAGACACACUCCAACUAGAAAGUGUGCAAAGCAUCAACAUUUAAUUUUUUAGCACGGAUUCUCUGAACAUCUACUUGGCCCGAGGCCCUGGGCCAGGCAUUGGGAUGGAGUGGGGGGCCGUUUAUCUGCUCAUUCAGUGAUUUCCUUCACUGGUUCCUUCACCAUGAGUUUGUGGAGCACUGACUGCGUGAAGCAGUGAGGGAGGCCAAAGGCUAGAUGGUCAGAGGGAAGGCUGGAACGUGGAGCUGGUGUCCACCGUGGGGAGGAUGGGCUGGGCUGGGGCAAUAUUCCUGAAACAUCUAUAAUUAUAGAGCUAACUGGACAAAUUGGAUAAGUGGGGAAAUCCUACUUAGCCACAUAUACACUUUUAAAAUACUUUAUUUUUACUUAAAAUAUUUAAAGUGCAUUAAUUUGUCUGUCUAUUGAUAAAAGGGCCAGAGCCUUUUCCCCGAACAUGAGUCUGCAGAUGGCAGGUCUGGGUCAUCUUGGUUGCUGAACCAUGGCACGUUGAAUCAGCGCUGGUUUCUGGUUUUGGCUUCUCUAAAGAGGCGUGUGAACUGGGAGGCACUGGUGGACAUCGGAAGGCACAGUCUCCCACCUUUUAUGUGCUUGUCCUCCCCUAACGAUCUCCCCUAUCUGUGCUGGGACUUCCCAGAGUUUCCAACCUGGUUUUCAAAAAGCGGCUCAUAUCUGGCACCCGUAUUUCAUUUGUUUAAGUCACUGGUUCUCAAAGUGUGAUCCCGGGAUGCUGAUGACCCUCGAGACCCUUUCAGGGGCUCGACCGGUCAGAGCCGAAAUGCUUCGUUUUCAUACCAAGACAUCAUGUGCCCUUUAGUGUCUCAUUUCCUCACAGAUGUACAGGCGGCCAGGACCCACUCUGAUGGCUGAGGGACUAUGUGCUUGUGCAUUUCUGUGCUUUGAAAAAUCUCUCAGCUCUAAUUUCUAACAGUGAAUACUGACAGAUGUAAACCACAUAAACAAAAGCGUUUUGGGAUCUUCAAUGAUUUUUAAGAGUAUAAUGGGGGUCUUGAUACUAAACAGUUUGAGAGCUGCUGGUUCUGUAUGGUUAUUAAAUCCCACAUGUCUAAUAUCAAGCUCAGCUGGCACGAGAAAGGCUUGGGAACAAAAGUAACUGACUUGUAGGAAACACACGUAACUGACUUGUAGGAAACACAGAACUGACCAGAGGGCAUUUUGCAGAAUGGCCAAGGGCACCGAGCAGGCCCUGAGCUUCGGCUGGGCUGUUAGGGGACCAGGAGACAGACCUCUGCCAGUGGGGAGGCGGAACAAGAGGGCAUCUAUGGUGAAACUGGUGGCGACCAUCGUAGUAAUGGUGCCAGGUAUUUCCUGAGCACAUGCUGAGUGCCAGGCCCUGUGCUAUGUGCAGUUUUGAGUGUCUCCUUGGAUGCUCACCACCACCCUAGGAGGGGCUAUAGUUUGGUUCUACCAUCAUACAAGUAGGGGAACUGCGGAUCACAGGGGCCAAACAAUGAGCCCCGGAUCCCCCAGCUACCAAGGAGCAGAGCUGGUCCGUGGUCUCGGGUCUGCUGAUCUCCACAGCCCGAGUCUUACCCUGUGCUUCUCACCUCUGAGUCCCUGAAGUCUCCAAGUUUCUAAGGAGGCAGGUGGAGAAGGCAGAGGCCCAGGUAAAGCUAGGUGGGUGCCGGUACCUUCUGGACAGUUUGGGCUGGGAGGCCAACACAGGUACUGGGCACUGAGGCCAGGACCAGGUGGCAUCUUCAAGGUCACUUCCUUGUGGAAGCAGCCGGACUGACCAGGACAGUGCCUCACACUUCACUGCACCCUACCUCGCAGGGGCCUUUGGGCAGAGACUCCAUCCUGGCUUCUGCCGCCCUCUUGCUGCGUCGCUCCCGUGUACUGCAUCCACCUGCACAGAGGAAGCUGAACUGAGUGUCUGCUGACCCUUGAGAGAAGCCUGUGACUUCGGGGGAGGCCGGGCAGGAGGGACCGGCUGCUCCGUGGGCCCUUCCAUUCCACAUUCUGGGGCUUUCUCAGACUGCCCUGCUUCGGCCAGUUCUGAGGAUUCCCAAGUGCCCUGAGCAGAAACGCAUCUUCCCCUGGUUUUUCCUUCUCUGGAGACUUGGCCCCUUAGGGGGUCCAAGCAUCUUGGCCUCAGCAUCUCUCCCGGACCUUCAGACAAAAGCUUUUUGGUGUGUCAUCAGCUUUCUAAACAUCCUCAGGAAGACUGUCGGCCCUCUGCAAGCUCUCCAGGAAACAGAAGUCUCUUUCCAUUACAUUUCUGCCAUUUUAUAUUCUGGGGCCCCAGCCUAGCCCAUCCUAACUCACACAAACUUUAGCAGCACUUCUAUAUGUUUUAGGAGCACAUGAUCCACCAUCAUUAGUCUUCCAGAUGGUUGAGACAAUUGGCUCAGUGUUGACUACAAUUAGAAAAUAUAAAGGAAGCGACUCUAAAACUGUCAGUGAUCACAAGGUACAGAAGUAGUCAGAUACUGCGUGAAGAGGAGUGUUUCAAAAUGAUGCGUCUUAUUAGAAAAAUUUCUAAGUUAAUGCAAAAAUAAAGAAAAAAAAUGUCAAGAUCCUA